rnacentral:lncRNA from 1 species
CGCUUUCUUUCAAUCUGUUGGUUCUGAGCUUUGCAUCACUGGUGUGUGUUCCUUCCAGAUCCUGCACGGACCUCCCUGUCAGGCCCCUCUUGCCGCCCGUCGACACGUCCUUCGAUCUUGUUGUGUUGAUCAUGGGUAAGUGGCAAUGCAUUAUAAUGUAGUCAUUGGAGUUCUCUUUUGGGCUUUUAUUUAACUUUUGAUGUACAAUGUUUACAACUACCCAAAAAAUUAAGCUAUGUGUGACGUGAUUUAUAACUAAGCAUGGUCUAAUGUUUUGAGGGCAAUGACAGGGACCAUUCCAUUUGAAGAGGCUCAUGCUGCCCGGAUUUCAUUAAGCAAGCCAUCUAUGUCCCAAAGUUGAGGACCGUUUGGAGAAGAGGC